GAUGAACGCUGGCGGCGUGCCUAAUACAUGCAAGUCGAGCGAACAGACGAGGAGCUUGCUCCUCUGACGUUAGCGGCGGACGGGUGAGUAACACGUGGAUAACCUACCUAUAAGACUGGGAUAACUUCGGGAAACCGGAGCUAAUACCGGAUAAUAUAUUGAACCGCAUGGUUCAAUAGUGAAAGACGGUUUUGCUGUCAAUUAUAGAUGGAUCCGCGCCGCAUUAGCUAGUUGGUAAGGUAACGGCUUACCACGGCAACGAUGCGUAGCCGACCUGAGAGGGUGAUCGGCCACACUGGAACUGAGACACGGUCCAGACUCCUACGGGAGGCAGCAGUAGGGAAUCUUCCGCAAUGGGCGAAAGCAUGACGGAGCAACGCCGCGUGAGUGAUGAAGGUCUUCGGAUCGUAAAACUCUGUUAUUAGGGAAGAACAAAUGUGUAAGUAACUAUGCACGUCUUGACGGUACCUAAUCAGAAAGCCACGGCUAACUACGUG
rnacentral:rRNA from 1 species